rnacentral:rRNA from 1 species
UACGUAGGGACCAAGCGUUGUUCGGAUUUACUGGGCGUAAAGGGCGCGUAGGCGGCGCGGUAAGUCACUUGUGAAAUCUCUGAGCUUAACUCAGAACGGCCAAGUGAUACUGCAGUGCUAGAGUGUGGAAGGGGCAAUCGGAAUUCUUGGUGUAGCGGUGAAAUGCGUAGAUAUCAAGAGGAACACCUGAGGUGGAGACGGGUUGCUGGGCCAACACUGACGCUGAGGCGCGAAAGCCAGGGGAGCAAACGGG